CGCCGAAAUACUAUGGUGCCGCCCAGAUGGAGCCAUUAUAGACNNNNNNNNNNNNNNNNNNNNNNNNNUAUGGGAUCAUUAUGGGGUUAUUAUGGGAUUAUUAUGGGGUUAUUAUGGGGUUAUUAUGGGGUUAUUAUGGGAUGGCUAUAGGAUCACUAUGGGGUUAUUAUGGGGUUAUUAUGGGGUUAUUAUGGGGUUAUUAUGGGAUGUCCCCCCCCCCCAGAUCGCUCCCCAGACCUGGACAACUUCUCGGAGGAGGAGGAGGAGAGUUUCUCCUCGGAGCAGGACGGCAGCGACGACGCCAUUCAGGGGCAGGUGGGCCCCCCCCCCAUAGGAUCUCUUUGAUGAAGAGGAGGAGCUGCCCAAGAGGAAGAAGACGCAGCGGAAGCUGCUGGCGGCCGCAGGGAGGCAGCCCAACAUCAAACAGAAGUUCGUGGCGCUGCUGAAGAGGUUCAAAGUGUCGGAGGAGGCGCUGUGCAUGGAGCGCGUCUCGCGGAUGCGGGCGGUGGAGGACCUGGACCUGGCCGAGGACCUGGACGAGCUGUGCGCGUCCCUCGGUCUGUCCAACCCCAGCGACAGCGGCGCCGACAUCGACGACACCGACAGUGUCAUCAGCACCCCGAAACCCAGACUCAGGUCACAAUGAGGAGCCCAUAGAGCCCAUAGAGCCCAUAGAGCCCAUAGAGCCCAUAUAUCCCCCAUAGAGCCCAUAGACCCCAUAGAGCCCAUAGACCCCAUAGAGCCCAUAGACCCCAUAGAGCCCAUAGAGCCCAUAGACCCCAAUGGACCCCAUAGAGCCCAUAGACCCCAUAGAGCCCAUAGAGCCCAUAUCCCCCCCAUAGAGCCCAUAGAGCCCAUAGAGCCCAUAGAGCCCCCAUAGAGCCCAUAGAGCCCAUAGACCCCAUAUACCCCAUAGAGCCCAUAUCCCCCCCAUAGAGCCCAUAGACCCCAUAGAGCCCAUAUAUCCCCCAUG
rnacentral:lncRNA from 1 species